AUACGGAGGGUGCGAGCGUUAAUCGGAAUUACUGGGCGUAAAGGGUCCGUAGGCGGUCUGCUUAGUCUGAUGUGAAAGCCCCGGGCUUAACCUGGGAAUGGCAUUGGAUACUGGCGGACUAGAGUCUGGUAGAGGGUGGUGGAAUUCCCGGUGUAGCGGUGAAAUGCGUAGAAAUCGGGAGGAACACCAGUGGCGAAGGCGGCCACCUGGACCAAGACUGACGCUGAGGGACGAAAGCGUGGGGAGCAUACAGGAUUAGAAACCCUAGUAGUCC
rnacentral:rRNA from 1 species